AGUUCUGAAAUGAUCAGCCAUCAGCGUGGCAUGAGGAAGACCUAGGAACAGACAGACUGGGGAGAAGACACAGAGCCAAGCAGGACCUGGCCUGCAGCCCAAACCCUGUGGAAUCCCUACAUUCAAGGACCAGGUUGAAGUGAAGCCAUUGACAGGAACUGAGAUGCAGUAGUGUUCUGGAAGUCAAGUGAGGAGGAGGAUUGAAGAAGAGGGGGGUUGCCCAGUGGAAACACCAGACUGCAAAGCUUUGAGAAGUCUGUAUGAGAUGAACAACUGGAAAAGGUUCUUCGUGAAGAAUUUGUGUGGUGAAGAGCUGGAAUAGCGGCUUGAGGGAGAGAAGCCAGAAAACCAGAAGUUUUGGCAACCGUAUGCUGAUUCUGCCAUCUCCAGCCUGAUUCCUUGGGAGAGGUUAACCUUCCACAGUGGUGGCAAAAGUCAGCAGGCAAUGAAGGCUAUUUCCACCUGAGUCACCAGAAAGAAUGGCUAGGUCAUAAGCCACAUGGCUGGACUCUAUCUACCUCCCUGUAAUCUCCACUCUUUCACCUGUGCCAGCAAUGGUUUAGAGAUGAACAGACCAUAAAGACUAUGGAAAUCCAAUAAUCUUUAAUGCAUUUGCUCUGUCAGUGACAUUUGCCAUAGGAGAGAGAGAGAUUUGGAAUUUAUAAUUUGUACACCCUGAUUCUGCACAGCCUUAGUCUCUGACAAUGUGUGAAUGCAUAUUUGGAAGGGACACAUUCUCCCAGUUUACUGCAAUAUCCUCGCUCCCUAUUAAUUACACCCAGUGAUUAAGCCCACAAUGCCUUUUAAAUUUUCCCAGCAAGCCUUGUACAACAAUCCAAAUCAGGCCAAAAGUAGGAGGAGAGCUAUUUUCUUCCUGCCUGCUUUCCCUCUGAGCAUACAAAUUUGGAGGCCCCAUAACAACUGCUCCCCUCUUCAUGCUGGCAGAGCCUAAUUAUUUCUCAACUUAUCCCUAAACAAAGAAUAGAUCACCAAAAUACUUCAGAUGAAACGUAGAGCAGACAGGUCCUGGGCUGGGAAUCCAGGAGACUGAUGCAACAAAUGCAACAAAGAGCAUUAAGAGACUAGCAAUGUCCAUGAAGAAGGGAACCUAAUAAGUAAGCUGCCACAGCUCAAGUCCUCCUGGCCAAAGCCAGGUCAUGUCCCUCUAUAACCAGCCAGUGAGAAGGGAAUGAGGUCCCUAAACGGGUUCGGGGGAUUCAUGAUUCUCUCUGGGGACUGGAGAGAGAGCCUGGAGGUCUCACUUUCUUGAGCACAUCGGGGUGACUGAUGGACCCUGCCGGGUGGUCAAGGUGAGAUGGCUUCUGGCACAGGUAUUGGAUGUGACAUAAUCCUUGCGAAGGGCCUAGACAGUUAAGGAAGUGCACCCUACCUCCUGAAAGCUCCCUCCAUACCUGGCACUAAAAGGUAUUAUCACCAGUUCAGAUAUUUUGAUAUAUAUGGUUCGCUUCUGUCUGAUGACUCCCUGCAAAAAGGCUACCCUCCAAGCUACCCUCUAGGGUGAGUCAUUAGACAGAACAAGGAUAUAACACAUCCCCUGCUCUCCUAAGGAAAUUCUCUCAGUGUGAAUUUUCUUGUGCUGAAUGAACAAAGAUUUUUUUUUGUUUGUUUGUUUUUUUUGGUUUGUUUUUAGACAGUCUCAGUCUGUCACCCAGGCUGGAGUGCAGUGGCACGAUCUUGGCUUACUGCAACCUCUGCCUCUGGGGUUCAAGUGAUUCUUGUGCCUCAGCCUCCCGAGUAGCUGGGAUUACAGGCACCUGCCACCACGCCCAGCUAAUUUUUUUUUUUUUGUAUUUUUUGUAGAGAUGGGGUUUUGCCAUGUUGGUCAGGCUGGUCUUGAACCCCUGACCUCAAGUGAUCCUCCCGCCUUGGCCUCCCAGAGUGCUGGGAUUACAGACAUGAGCCACUGCGCCUGGCCUCAAUGAGUAAAUGUUUUGCUAAAAAAUUUCCCACACUGCCUCAGCAUAAAGCCUUACUUCAGUGUCAACUUUUGGUGCUGAACAAGGCACUCCUUGGCUGAAACCUUCCCACAUUCUAUGCAUUCAUAAGGCUUUUGCAGGGUGAACUUUCUGGUGCUGAGCAAGGUUAGAGGGACAGCCAAAGGCUCUCUCACAUUGUCCCCACUCAUAAAACCUUUCUGUGUUGUGAACUUUCUGGUGCCCUGCAAGGUGGACAUUUCUGCUGUAGGAUUUCCCACACCUGCUGUACACAUAAGGGCUUGCUCCAGAGUGAAGUCUCUGGUGGUGAACAAGGCUGGAGCUCUGGCUAAAGGAUUUCCCACAUUCUUUGCACUCAUAAGGACUUUCUCCAAUAUGGGUUCUUUGAUGUUGACCAAGUCCAUAUUUGGAGCUCAAAGAUUUCUUACGCAAUGUAAAUUAGUAUAACCACUAUGGAGAACAGUUUGGAGGUUCCUCAAAAAACUAAAAAUAGAGCUACCAUAUGACCCAUCAAUCUGACUUCUAGUUAUAUACCCCAAAGAAAAGAAAUCAGUACAUUGAAGAGAUAUCUGCCCUCCCAUCUUUGUUGCAGCACUAUUCACAAUAGCCAAGAUUUGGAAGUAACCCAAAUGUCCAUCAACAGACAAAUGGAUAAAGAAAAUGUGGUGCAUAUACACAAUGGAGUAGUAUUCAGCCAUAAAAAAGAAUGAGAUCUUGUCAUCUGCAACAACAUGGAUGGAACUGGAGGUCCUUAAGGUUAAGCAAAAUAAUCCAGGCACAGAAAGAAAACAUUGCAUGUUCUCAUCUAUUUGUGAGAACUAAAAAUUAAAACAAUUGAACUCAUGGAGAUAGAGAGUAGAAGGAUGGUUACCAGAGGCUGGGAAGGGUAGUGAGGGCGAGUGAGGGGGAAGUGGGGUGUUUAAUGUGUCCAAAAAAUGGUCAGAAACAAUGAAUAAAGUCUAAUAUAUGACAGCAAAAGAGUGUGACUAUAGUCAAUAAUAAUCGAAUGGUACAUUUAAAAAUAACUAAAAGUGUAUAUUUGGAUUGUUUGUAACAUAAAGGAUAAAUGCUUGAGGUGAUGGAUACC
rnacentral:lncRNA from 1 species